rnacentral:tRNA from 1 species
CGGGAUGUAGCACAGUUUGGUAGUGCGCUUGGUUCGGGACCAAGAGGUCGCAGGUUCAAUUCCUGUCAUUCCGACCA